AUAUGCGAGGAAAGUCCGGGCACCACAGAGCAGAGCGCCGGCUAAUUACCGGUAAAGGCGACUUUAAGGAAAGUGCAACAGAAAUAAACCGCAGCAAAUGCUGUAAGGGUGGAAAUGUGAGGUAAGAGCUCACAAACUCUUUGGCGACUGAGAGUUCAUGUAAACCCCGCUCGGUGCAAGAUAGAGACUGAAAAAGGGCUGCUCGUCCGUCUCGUUAUUUCGCUGGAGCUUACCGGCAACGGUAAGCCGAGAUAGAUAAUCGCCGCGCCGCAUGGCGUACAGAACCCGGCUUACAGAUUG
rnacentral:RNase_P_RNA from 2 species